rnacentral:rRNA from 1 species
GAUGAACGCUGGCGGCGUGCCUAAUACAUGCAAGUCGAGCGAACGGACGAGAAGCUUGCUUUUCUGAUGUUAGCGGCGGACGGGUGAGUAACACGUGGAUAACCUACCUAUAAGACUGGGAUAACUUCGGGAAACCGGAGCUAAUACCGGAUAAUAUUUUGAACCGCAUGGUUCAAAAGUGAAAGACGGUCUUGCUGUCACUUAUAGAUGGAUCCGCGCUGCAUUAGCUAGUUGGUAAGGUAACGGCUUACCAAGGCAACGAUGCAUAGCCGACCUGAGAGGGUGAUCGGCCACACUGGAACUGAGACACGGUCCAGACUCCUACGGGAGGCAGCAGUAGGGAAUCUUCCGCAAUGGGCGAAAGCCUGACGGAGCAACGCCUCGUGAGUGGUGAAGGUCUUCGGAUCGUAAAACUCUGUUAUUAGGGAAGAACAUAUGUGUAAGUAACUGUGCACAUCUUGACGGUACCUAAUCAGAAAGCCACGGCUAACUACGUG